rnacentral:rRNA from 2 species
CAAAACGACUCUCGGCAACGGAUAUCUCGGCUCUCGCAUCGAUCAA